CAAGUACUCCCUCCGUCCGGAAUUACAUGUCAUCAAAAUGGAUGUGUCUAGAACUAAAAUACAUCUAGAUACAUCCAUUUCAAUGACAAGUAUUUUCGGAUGGAGGGAGUACAAG
rnacentral:pre_miRNA from 1 species